GCUCGUAGUUGGAUUUUGGGCGCAGGCGGCCGGUCCGUCGCAAGGCGUGUACUGGCCGUCCUGGCCUCACCUCCGGUUCUCCGCCGGUGCCCUUGACUGAGUGUCGGCGGCGGCCGGAACGUUUACUUUGAAAAAAUUAGAGUGUUCAAAGCAGGCGAUUCGCCUGAAUAAUGGUGCAUGGAAUAAUGGAAUAGGACCUCGGUUCUAUUUUGUUGGUUUUUGGAGCGCGAGGUAAUGAUUAAGAGGGACAGACGGGGGCAUUCGUACUGUGCCGUUAGAGGUGAAAUUCUUGGAUCGGCGCAAGACGAACGACUGCGAAAGCAUUUGCCAAGAAUGUUUUCUUUAAUCAAGAGCGAAAGUCAGAGGUUCGAAGACGAUCAGAUACCGUCCUAGUUCUGACUAUAAACGAUGCCAACUAGCGAUCGGGGGGCGUUAGUUUUACGACCUCUCCGGCAGCUUGCGGGAAACCAAAGUCUUUGGGUUCCGGGGGAAGUAUGGUUGCAAAGCUGAAACUUAAAGGAAUUGACGGAAGGGCACCACCAGGAGUGGAGCCUGCGGCUUAAUUUGACUCAACACGGGAAAUCUCACCCGGCCCGGACACAGUGAGGAUUGACAGAUUGAGAGCUCUUUCUUGAUUCUGUGGGUGGUGGUGCAUGGCCGUUCUUAGUUGGUGGAGCGAUUUGUCUGGUUAAUUCCGAUAACGAACGAGACUCUGGCUUGCUAACUAGUUACGCGACCCAAUCGGUCGGCGUCUAACUUCUUAGAGGGACUAGUGGCGUUUAGCCACACGAGAUUGAGCAAUAACAGGUCUGUGAUGCCCUUAGAUGUUCGGGGCCGCACGCGCGCUACACUGACCGGAUCAGCAUGUGCUCGCCUUGGCCGACAGGUCUGGGUAACCCG
rnacentral:rRNA from 1 species